rnacentral:rRNA from 1 species
AGUGAACGCUGGCGGUAGGCCUAACACAUGCAAGUCGAACGGCAGCACAGUAAGAGCUUGCUCUUACGGGUGGCGAGUGGCGGACGGGUGAGGAAUACAUCGGAAUCUACUUUUUCGUGGGGGAUAACGUAGGGAAACUUACGCUAAUACCGCAUACGACCUACGGGUGAAAGCAGGGGAUCUUCGGACCUUGCGCGAUUGAAUGAGCCGAUGUCGGAUUAGCUAGUUGGCGGGGUAAAGGCCCACCAAGGCGACGAUCCGUAGCUGGUCUGAGAGGAUGAUCAGCCACACUGGAACUGAGACACGGUCCAGACUCCUACGGGAGGCAGCAGUGGGGAAUAUUGGACAAUGGGCGCAACCUGAUCCAGCCAUACCGCGUGGGUGAAGAAGGCCCUCGGGUUGUAAAGCCCUUUUGUUGGGAAAGAAAAGCAGCAGGUUAAUACCCCGCUGUUCUGACGGUACCCAAAGAAUAAGCACCGGCUAACUUCGUG